AUUUUGGUGUCAAAUCCAAAAAAAUCAUCACAGUGAUAAUAAACUUACUAUCUAUUCUUCCAGGAGUUUUAUAGUUUCAGGUGUUACAUUCAAGUCUUUCAUCCAUUUUUAGUUUAUUUUUGUGUACAGUGAUUGACGAAAUUGUCCCGUCCCCAUUGUAAACUCUUGGUUCUUUUGUCAUAAAUUAAUUGACCAUAUAUGUAUGGAUUUAUUUCUGGGCACCCUAUUCUGUUCUGUUGAUCUAUGUGUCUCAUUUUAUGCCAGUAUAAUACUGUUUCGAUUACCGUACAUCUUUUAAUCUGAAGC